rnacentral:rRNA from 1 species
AUGGCUUCACAAGAUCUUUGCAUUUGGCAUGCUUAUUUUGGUUUACCAGGGUCUCUGAAUGAUAUAAAUGUUCUUCAAUGUUCUCCUAUUUUUACAAAGCUAGCCGAAGGCCAAACUCCUCCAGUGAAUUAUAGCAUCAAUGGCCAUCAGUACACAAUGGGGUAUUACCUUGCAGAUGGUAUCUAUCCACGGUGGGCAACAUUUGUGAAGAGCAUACCGGCUCCAACUAGCAGAAAGCAUAAAACUUUUGCCAAGAAGCAAGAGGGGGCUAGGAAAGAUGUGGAACGAGCCUUUGGAGUUAUGCAAUCCCGUUUUGCCAUUGUUCGUGGACCUGCUAAAGGAUGGAAACAUAAAGAAAUCACUGAUGUCAUGAAAGCUUGUGUCAUAAUGCACAAUAUGAUAGUUGAAGAGGAGCGACAAACUGGUCGGCAAAGCUGCACUUUUGAGGCAAUGGGAGAAAGAGUCACAGUCUCUCGUACUCAUGCGGAAGAACUGAGCUCUUUUAUUCAGAUGACUCAUCAGAUUAGAAAUUUCGAUGAACAUGAUCAGCUUAAACUUGAUCUA